GCGCCGGUAGCUCAAUUGGAUAGAGCAUCUGACUACGGAUCAGAAGGUUCGGGGUUCGAAUCCCUGCCGGCGUG
rnacentral:tRNA from 1 species